UGGGUUGGGAGUAUAAUGGGAUCAAGUAGGGUACAGGAUUUUGAUGCAGUACUUAAAUAGUACAGGUUUGAAUAAAAUAAUUUAAUAUACAUUAGAUUAAUGAUGCUAUUCCACACUUUUAGGAUCAUGAGGGGUUCUGUGUGGAGGAUGGAGGAGCUGAACACACAGUGCCAUCUGAAUCAUGGGGUCUUGAUUGAACUAGAGUGGGAACAAAGCUAUGGGAUCAAAAUCCCGUCAAAUAUAUUGCGGUCACGGAUCCAAAAAUAAGCAUGAAUCAAAAUAAUAAGCGCAGAUAAAAAAAAAAUAAUAAGCACAAAAAUAAAUAAAAAGCGCAGAUCAUCCAGUCAGGCUUCCUAAGCAACCAAUUGGCCCGGUUGUUAGGGUGGGUAUGUCACAUGUGGUCACCUCCUUGUGGUCACUAAUGUGGUUCUGGCUCUCGGUGAGGUGCGUGGUGAGUUGUGCGUGGAUGCCUCUGAGAAUAGCGUGAAGCCUCCACAUGCGCUACGUCUCCGCGGUAACGCGCUCAACAAGAUAAGAUGUGCAGGUUGACGGUCUCAGACACGGAGGCAACUGAGAUUCGUCACUACGCCACCACGAGGACUUAGAGCACAUUGGGAAUUGGGCAUUCCAAAUUCGGGAGAAAAGGGAGCGCAAAUCAAAAUAAUUAGCGCAGAUAAAAAAAAAUAACAAGCAUGAAUCAAAAAUAUAUAAACACAUUUAAAAUAUGCUGCAAAAAAUAAAAUAAAAAUUAAAGCAAAGUCAUCAGAACUGCAAACAAAAUCAUGUUUUCCUUGGUUAUAUUUGUCACAGACACCGUGUUUCCAAGGACUCUUAUUUUGAAGUGGUUUUCGUCCUCUGGCUUCUGUUUCCCCCGGACUACAUUUCCCAGAAUGCACUGCCCUCAGUUCCCCAUUGUUCUCGCCUGUUCUCGUUUCCGUCAUCAGCACCUUGUGUAUAAAUACCCUCUAGUUUAGUUCCAUCAUUGUCAGUUCUUGUUCAUUGUUACAUAGUUUAUGGUAACCCAAACGGCUGUCUUGUUUUGUAACCUUAGUCAUCGUCUUCUGUGUAUCCUCGCUUUCUUGUCAUUGUGAAUUAAAGGACUGCUGCACUUAUAUCCUGCCUCAUCUCUACGAAACUUCUGCGCUUGGUUUUCCAAAACUUGGGAGGUGAGUUUCAUGUAAAUCAGGGGGUGUUUUACGUCACUAUUGGUCCACUAGUUCUUGAUCGACAGCUCCUCUAGCCAAUCAGUGGAAGAGGGGGAGGUGACGUCACUUUAGUGCGACUCCGACGGCUGUCGCUCAAUAUUAUAUUAUUUGUGGUUGAUAGAUACGCUGCUUGUGUCUGUUUUGAGGAUUUUCUGCAGCUCUAGGAAACAAUGUGUUGUCCGAGUAGGUCAUUAUCAUAGUUCGUUAACACAUGUAUCGAGUCAGAUUAAUUUAGUUAGAGUCUUUAGGCAUUAUUUAAGACUUCCUUGUUUGUAGGUUAUUGGCUGCAUAUCUAAAAAAAACACAACUUGAUCUAUUUUUAAUAAGCAUCUUUUGUAAGUAAGUUGUGUAAGAAAGCAGGGAGAGAAGGAUAUCGAAACAAUUGAAGGUUAAAGGAAAAGAUUAAUUAAAUCAUGAGUGCAUUACAGUUCAGUAAGUGGCGAUAUACACAGACUGAAUCACCAAAAACCAAAAGAAGAAGAUCUGAAAGAUAGAUGGUGAUAAACAUCAUCAUGUUGUAACAGACUGAACAAGGAAACAAAGACGAGAAACACGUGUCAGUGAAUCACACGGUCAUUAAAGGUAGUUUUUCCUCACUAUAGGUAGUUUGGACUGAUGUAAAUAAAUCCACACCAGCGUAUUUGAAAAGCUCCAGAAAGUUGCAGUCGUUUCUCUACUGAAGGAUGUCUGAACAGAUGGAGAGUUCACUGACUGGCCCGUAUCUCUUCCGGAACAAUCAACCAAUGACCAGCACUUCUGUUUAUGUCUGCUGAAUGUAUAGAACAUGUCAGGAUUUCAGUUUCCUGCAUUUCAUACUUUCUCUACAGGCUCAAUAAAGGGUGUGACUCUAUAAAUGAUCUAAAAUGAAUCAAAUAUAGCAGGGUAAACUUCUGUAGUAAUGAAUGGGAGACCACAGCAAAUAUAGUCUCUGUUUAAAGCUAACAACCCAAGGUAAGAUUAGAUAUAAAGUUUGAGCCUAUUUGGGACUAACAGAUCAGUGAUUGGCACAGAAAAGAGAUGUUUGCAUUUCAUGCCUUACUGAAAUAAAGUCAUGCUAUCUAGUGUUUAUUUACCCAUGUAAAAGAGAAAGAAGUGAGCGUGAUUUCUUUGGGUUUUAAAAAUUAGAAAAGGAUAGCCUACACACAAUAGUGUGUGAUUUGAGCUGAGUGAAAAGGAGUGUUGAAGUUUUAAUGUUGUUUGGACACUGCAGCUCCACGUUUCACAACAUAUUUUCCAGAGGAACAAAUAAAAUAAAAUGACAUAAUAUAAACGAACUGUCCAUGUUUUUAAUUCAGGAGUGUAAUAUUGGAUUACAGACUCACGUUUCUGCUGUAUUUUGCCAGCUAUUGCAAUUAUGUGAAAUUAAAAUGACAGUAAACUGGCCAAUUUCAAUAAAGUUCCUCAAUAUUCUCUCCAUUUUACACAAAUGUGGGG